GGUCCGGGCGUUAUCCGGAUUUAUUGGGUUUAAAGGGAGCGUAGGCCGGAGAUUAAGCGUGUUGGGAAAUGUAGUGGCUCAACCUCUGCACUGCAGCGCGAACUGGUCUUCUUGAGUACGCACAACGUGGGCGGAAUUCGUGGUGUAGCGGUGAAAUGCUUAGAUAUCACGAAGAACUCCGAUUGCGAAGGCAGCAUACGGUAGCGUUACUGACGCUGAAGCUCGAAGGCGCGGGUAUC
rnacentral:rRNA from 1 species